GCAGGAGUGGUCAGCAAAUGGAGCACAGGACUCCAUGGGUGGGAAGGAACAUCAGAGGGACACCACAUGCAGCCUCCUCCCAGUCUUAGGGGUUUUGAGAAGACCUGUGGUCUCCUCCAAGGAGGUGAGAAUCUGAGAGGAGCAAUCGGCACUGAGAGAGAGACAAGGAGAGCUGGGAGCUGCGGCAAGACCAAAGUGAAAUAAUCAAGUUGCAGUGAGUGGAAUUCAUCCUUGUUCCUGGACUUACAAUAGAGCUCUGCUGCCUGGGUGACUGCACAAGGGAUUUGGAGAUCAAUCAGGAUCCAAACCAAGCUUCAGCAUCUCAGUUCCUUUCUGCAUUCUGAAAGGAGGAUGGGUAGAAGCAGAAAUAGGAAACAGCAGAAAUCAGACAACACCAUCUGACAAGAACUUUUGUAGAUGUAAACUCAGAUCUGUGAACAUGA